UAUAGAAUUAACAACUGCUUGGGUUGUUGCUGGCUCUAAGGAGCAUUGUGCACGCCUGGCACGUUAUUCUUGACCACCUGUGCAUUUUUUGUAGACUGAAAUGCGUUAUUAUCGAGGACACACUCGGUUUUGGAGGUCUGCGAUGUGAAAGCUCGCUUUCCUUGGAUGCGUUUUAGCUCUAUGUAUUUUAAUAUUACACCCUUUAAUAAGUAACAGAAUGUGUAUUCAUUGGCCAUCUGUGCCUUUAAUCAAAUACAACUUUCAACAACGGAUCUCUUGGCUCUCGCAUCGAUGAAGAACGCAGCGAAAUGCGAUAAGUAAUGUGAAUUGCAGAAUUCAGUGAAUCAUCGAAUCUUUGAACGCACCUUGCGCUCCUUGGUAUUCCGAGGAGCAUGCCUGUUUGAGUGUCAUUAAAUUAAAUCAAAUCAUUAUCUUUUAGGUAAAAGAUUUGGAUUGUGGGGGUUUUGCUGGCUUUAAUAGAAGUCAGCUCCUCUUAAAAGCAUGAGUGAAACGCUUUGUAGACCAACUCUGGUGUGAUAAUUAUCUACGCCAUGGUUAACUUACUUGCAUAUGUUUUGCUUUCUAACCAAGUUGUCUGCUUCAAAAGGACACUAAAUAGAUAAAU
rnacentral:rRNA from 1 species